UACGUAGGAUGCAAGCGUUGUUCGGAUUCAUUGGGCGUAAAGGGUGCGUAGGUGGCGCCGUAAGUGGGGUGUGAAAUUUCGGAGCUUAACUCCGAAACUGCAUUCCAUACUGCGCAGCUAGAGUCCUGGAGAGGAAGGUGGAAUGCUUGGUGUAGAGGUGAAAUUCGUAGAUAUCAAGCGGAACACCGGUGGCGAAGGCGACUACCUGGCCUGUUCUUGACGCGUGAGGCGGCG
rnacentral:rRNA from 1 species